rnacentral:rRNA from 1 species
GAGGAAGGUAGUGUAGUUAACACCUGCAUUAUUUGACGUUACCUACAGAAGAAGCACCGGCUAACUCCGUGCCAGCAGCCGCGGUAAUACGGAGGGUGCGAGCGUUAAUCGGAAUUACUGGGCGUAAAGCGCAUGCAGGCGGCCUGUUAAGUCAGAUGUGAAAGCCCGGGGCUUAACCUCGGAAUUGCAUUUGAAACUGGCAGGCUAGAGUCUUGUAGAGGGGGUAGAAUUUCAGGUGUAGCGGUGAAAUGCGUAGAGAUCUGAAGGAACACCAGUGGCGAAGGCGACAUACUGGCUCAUUACUGACGCUGAGGCUCGAAAGCGUGGGGAGCAAACAGGAUUAGAUACCCUGGUAG